rnacentral:lncRNA from 1 species
CUCAUGGUGCAGCACGUCACCGGCGACCAGGCCGAGCCCGGCGCGGCAGACGGCGCCCUCCUGCACGCGUCGCCGUACGACGCGUACUCCGCCGCCCUGCUCCUGGACUGCCACCCUUUCGACGGCGCGUUCGAGGAAUCGCUGAGGCUGCCGUCCGAUGUCGACGCGGCGGCGCUCCAUCGCCACCACCAACAGCAGCAACAGCCGUGCUUCCCGACGCUGGACUCGUGGGGCGUCAUGUGCGAGAGCAGCCAGUUGAUCUAGCCAGGAAACAACAUCUUGAUAGAAGAAUCGGAGAUUGCCCAUGCUGGAAUCGUCGAAUCGGAACGCUGCAGACGACACAAGAACCUAAGCAGAUAGUUCACCAGGACGCAGCACAGACUCAACACCACUCAUUAUCUCAGUUCUCUGACAAGACUAGCUAGGACUAAAGUAAGCAUAGCACCACGAAUUAGGGACUGUUUGGAUGGUUACCAAAGUGUACCUUGUCAAUUUGGGUCACGAGACUCAUGACGCCUUUGUUUGGAUGAAGUCUUCUUUACCAAAACCUCAACCAAUAUUUUGGCAACUGACAUCUUGAUAGGGAAAUCUUAGACACGAAACAAACAGACCUUAGAGCAUCUUACAAGUAAAACCAUGCAAUCUAACGACCAUGGACGCGUCUCGGCACGUCCGCUGACACUGACCGAACACGCCUUAUGCGUUGGCUUUCACAUCUGUCUCCCUUAUAUUCAAAACCUCAAAAC